rnacentral:rRNA from 1 species
UACGAAGGGGGCUAGCGUUGUUCGGAAUUACUGGGCGUAAAGGGCGCGUAGGCGGUCGUGCGAGUCAGGCGUGAAAGCCCUGGGCUCAACCCAGGAGGUGCGCUUGAUACUGCAUGACUAGAGUGUCGGAGAGGAUGGUGGAAUUCCCAGUGUAGAGGUGAAAUUCGUAGAUAUUGGGAAGAACACCGGUGGCGAAGGCGACCAUCUGGACGACAACUGACGCUGAGGCGCGAAAGCGUGGGGAGCAAACAGG